AGGGACAAAGAACCAAAACCAGAACUCGGAAUUGGAGCUGCAGUGUUGGGUGUGAAGUGGGACGUGUCCUGCGUGUCCCAGGAAUAAAGGAAUGUGGUGAAAGGUGUGCCCUGGCAGGAUCGUGGUCUCCACUAACUGCUUGGUGCCAGGGCAGAAGCUCCAAAUCACAUGAGCAGCAAUGUGCCAGUGGAGGCAAGGCCACCCUGCAGACCAGGUCCAGCACAGGUGUGCUCAUUGCUAAGCACUUGAGGCUUUUCACCCUGGGGAACCUUCCUGUUUGGUUGUAAACAGCUUACCGAGUUAGCAAACAGCGGUCCAUUGGAACAGUAAAGGAGAAUGUUUUAUUGACUGAGUAGGAAGAAACAAGCAUUCUCAUGUCAAAAUAAUGGGGUAUUUAAUACUCCCUUUUUGGCUUCAUCAUCAGCUA